rnacentral:miRNA from 1 species
CAGAACACCCAGUUGCAUUUGAAUUUCUGAUGAACAAUGAAUACAUUUUUAUGUAAGUAUGUCCCAUGCAAUAUUUGGGACAUACUUAUACUAAAAAACUAUUCAUUGUGUAUCUGAAAUUCAAAUGUAACUAGGAGUCUUGUA